rnacentral:lncRNA from 10 species
GUAGAGAAAGGCUUGAUGACCAGAGAGGUUUGGGGCGUUGUUGGGCUAUUUUCUAGGUUUCCUUUUUUCAUCUGCUUUUUCUCAUUCAGCUGCAAGUCUGGCAUGGGAAGUCUACAGAAGAUGAACCAAAUAGCCACAAAGUCUCUGAGCUAAUUUUGAAAGGUGGGGAUUUGGGAGUAAGUGGGGACUGGGAGAGCUGGUCAGGGUGAGGAAUGGCUGCCAGGGGGCUUUGAAUGCACUCGUUUGAAGUUUGUAUCUGUACCAGCAGCUGUGGAAUCUGCAUGCCAUGAACCAGUUGGCAGGUAUAGACAAUGAACCUGGCAUUAUGAAUAGCAAGGUUGGGAGCAGGUGGGGAAAUUGGGAUUUGAGAGGCCAGCAAGCAGGAGUUUGCAAUGUUCUGAAGGGUUUUGGUGAUUAGAAAAGAACAGGUCAGCUGGGUGCAGUGGCGCAUGCCUAUAAUCCCUGCACUCUGGAGGGCCAAGGAGGCAGGUUGCUUGAGUCCAGGAGCUCGAGACCAGCCUGGGCAACAUGGCGAAACCUCCAUCUCUACUAAAAAUACAAAAAAAUAUAUAUAUUCAGGAGUGGUGGUGCACACCUGUAGCCCCAGCUACUCAGGAGGCUGAGGUGAGGAUCAUCUGAGCCCAGGGAGUUGAGACUGCAGUGAGCUUUGAUGGCCCCACUGCAUUCCAGCCUGGGCAACAAGAGUGAGACCCUGUCUCAAAAAAAAAAACCAAAAAAAAAAACCCAAAAUGUCAACAUGUAUGACCUUUACAGAGGAAGAAGCAUGUCAUUUUGAUUACAUUUAGGCAGUGGUUGAUGUAAGGGGCGGGGGGCAAGAUAUCUUGGUCACCCUGAGGUUUGUGGCUCAGGAAAAUCAAGGAGUUCUGUUUCCCCAAUUUCAAGUGGGAAAAGGAUAGGUAUAUAUGCUACCAGAAGCUGAGAUGGAAUGGAGUCACUUGAAGAGAGGUGAUCGUUUCCCUUGGGAACAUAGUGGGCUUAGAACACAGCUCAGGGUCCAGAGGAAGUUCAGGUUAGGGCGUGGUAAAGGAGACACUAAGCACUCAUCAACAACCAAUCAGAGAAAUGCUAGGUCUCUGGAUGCUGGGGACAUGGAGCUGGGAAAGGGUGAUGGGUGAUAAUGAACCCCAAAGAGAGGUGGAGGAAGGAAUCUGGAGCCAGGAGCCUUAGACUUGGCCCUACCCACGUGGUUGGUGGGUUUGGUGAGAGAACUUUCAGCAGUGUCCCUGAGAACUUUCAGCAGGGACUGAGGAUAUCUU